UUUAUGGAGAGUUUGAUCCUGGCUCAGGAUGAACGCUGGCGGCGUGCCUAAUACAUGCAAGUCGAGCGAACAGAUAAGGAGCUUGCUCCUUUGACGUUAGCGGCGGACGGGUGAGUAACACGUGGGUAACCUACCUAUAAGACUGGAAUAACUCCGGGAAACCGGGGCUAAUGCCGGAUAACAUGUUGAACCGCAUGGUUCUACAGUGAAAGACGGUCUUGCUGUCACUUAUAGAUGGACCCGCGCCGUAUUAGCUAGUUGGUGGGGUAACGGCCUACCAAGGCGACGAUACGUAGCCGACCUGAGAGGGUGAUCGGCCACACUGGAACUGAGACACGGUCCAGACUCCUACGGGAGGCAGCAGUAGGGAAUCUUCCGCAAUGGGCGAAAGCCUGACGGAGCAACGCCGCGUGAGUGAUGAAGGUCUUCGGAUCGUAAAGCUCUGUUGUUAGGGAAGAACAAAUGUGUAAGUAACUGUGCACAUCUUGACGGUACCUAACCAGAAAGCCACGGCUAACUACGUGCCAGCAGCCGCGGUAAUACGUAGGUGGCAAGCGUUAUCCGGAAUUAUUGGGCGUAAAGCGCGCGUAGGCGGUUUUUUAAGUCUGAUGUGAAAGCCCACGGCUCAACCGUGGAGGGUCAUUGGAAACUGGAAAACUUGAGUGCAGAAGAGGAAAGUGGAAUUCCAUGUGUAGCGGUGAAAUGCGCAGAGAUAUGGAGGAACACCAGUGGCGAAGGCGGCUUUCUGGUCUGCAACUGACGCUGAUGUGCGAAAGCGUGGGGAUCAAACAGGAUUAGAUACCCUGGUAGUCCACGCCGUAAACGAUGAGUGCUAAGUGUUAGGGGGUUUCCGCCCCUUAGUGCUGCAGCUAACGCAUUAAGCACUCCGCCUGGGGAGUACGGUCGCAAGACUGAAACUCAAAGGAAUUGACGGGGACCCGCACAAGCGGUGGAGCAUGUGGUUUAAUUCGAAGCAACGCGAAGAACCUUACCAAAUCUUGACAUCCUUUGACCGCUCUAGAGAUAGAGUUUUCCUCUUCGGAGGACAAAGUGACAGGUGGUGCAUGGUUGUCGUCAGCUCGUGUCGUGAGAUGUUGGGUUAAGUCCCGCAACGAGCGCAAC
rnacentral:rRNA from 1 species